GGAUCAUUCAACCCUUCAGAUACCAUUGGACUGCAGUUCCUAGCAUCCUUCACUAUUGGCUUGGCUGGCUGGGGGCUGCUGGGAACUGAAGCCCAACUGCAUCUGGAAGGCUGCAUGAGUCCCACCUUGCCUGUAAACAAUGUGAAGUGAUGCCUUUUUCAAAAUUACUUUAAUCUCCCUUUGAAGCUAUGGACCAUCUCUGCUGUGUACCAAACUAUUCCAGAACUGGGUUUCUUCAUAAUAAAAUUCUUAUUUAUUUUACUCUGGCCUUUAAUUUGGUUUUGUGUCACAAGUUUAUAAAGUUUAUUGUUGUUACAAUUGGCUGCUCUUCCAGAGUUGUUAUAAUAUCUUUUUGCAAUCAAUACAUCUCCUUCAGUGACAUGAAAACACAAAGCCCUUUCCCCCAAAACAGAUGAGACAAAGAAAAUCAAAUUGUCAAUGCAUUGCAUACGUAUUUGUUCUUAAGCCCAAGACAUGAAAGAGUUUCAUGCAGUCUGUGCUAUUGUGAGUCAACAUCUCUCUCCAUUCCCUGCAGAUACUUCACAGAGUUUGAGACUAUCGAUCAGGCCGUCACAGACGUUUUCCACUUUGCUGUUUUUGACGCUGAUGACAACCGGCUUGACAGUCAAAUGUUCACCAUCACAAUUAUGGCUGUCCAGAGGAAGCCUCCGACCAUCACUUUUGCCAACCACAUCACGGUGGAUGAAGGAGGGCGGGUACCCCUUACCGUUCACCAUAGUCAAGCCAUUGAGUCGGAUCUCGAGCAAGAAGAUCUAGUGGUGAAAAUCGUGACUUUUCCCAAAUAUGGAUAUAUUGAAAAUACCAAGACAGGUAGGAUACUAAUCUUAUCAA
rnacentral:lncRNA from 11 species